rnacentral:rRNA from 1 species
CCUACGGGAGGCAGCAGUGGGGGAUAUUGCACAAUGGGGGGAACCCUGAUGCAGCGACGCCGCGUGGGUGAAGAAGCGCCUCGGCGCGUAAAGCCCUGUCAGCAGGGAAGAAAAUGACGGUACCUGAAGAGGAAGCCCCUGCUAACUACGCGCCAGCAGCCGCGGUAAUACGUAGGGGGCAAGCGUUAUCCGGAUGUACUGGGUGUAAAGGGGGCGCAGACGGCGCUGCAAGCCAGGAGUGAAAGCCCUGGGCCCAACCCCGGGACUGCUUUUGGAACUGCGGGGCUGGAGAGCAGGAGGGGCAGGCGGAAUUCCUGGUGUAGCGGUGAAAUGCGUAGAUAUUAGGAGGAACACCAGUGGCGAAGGCGGCCUGCUGGACUGCAACUGACGUUGAGGCACGAAAGCGUGGGGAGCAAACAGGAUUAGAUACCCGUGUAGUC